GACGAACGCUGGCGGCGUGCCUAAUACAUGCAAGUCGAACGCAGUGGGGACGGGUGAGUAAAACGUGGGUAACCCCCCACCAGAGGGGAUAACACUCGGAAACAGGUGCUAAACCGAUAUAGAUGGAUGGACCCGCGGUGCAUUAACUAGUUGGUGAGGUAACGCCUCACCAAGGCCACGAUGCAUAGCCGACCUGGUAGGGUGAUCGGCCACCCUGGGACUGGGACACCGCCCAGACUCCUACGGGAGGCAGCAUUAGGGAAUCGUCGGCAAUGGACGAAAGUCUGACCGAGCAACGCCGCGUGAGUGAAGAGGGUUUGCGGAGCGUAAAACUCUGUUGUUAGAGAAGCGUUGUCUAACCAGAAAGCCACGGCUAACUACGUGCCAGCAGCCGCGGUAAUAC
rnacentral:rRNA from 1 species